GAUGAACGCUGGCGGCGUGCCUAAUACAUGCAAGUCGAGCGAAUGGAUUAAGAGCUUGCUCUUAUGAAGUUAGCGGCGGACGGGUGAGUAACACGUGGGUAACCUGCCCAUAAGACUGGGAUAACUCCGGGAAACCGGGGCUAAUACCGGAUAACAUUUUGAACCGCAUGGUUCGAAAUUGAAUGGCGGCGUCGGCUGUCACUUAUGGAUGGACCCGCGUCGCAUUAGCUAGUUGGUGAGGUAACGGCUCACCAAGGCAACGAUGCGGAGCCGACCUGAGAGGGUGAUCGGCCCAACUGGGACUGAGACACGGCCCAGACUCCUACGGGAGGCAGCAGUAGGGAAUCUUCCGCAAUGGACGAAAGUCUGACGGAGCAACGCCGCGUGAGUGAUGAAGGCUUUCGGGUCGUAAAACUCUGUUGUUAGGGAAGAACAAGUGCUAGUUGAAUAAGCUGGCACCUUGACGGUACCUAACCAGAAAGCCACGGCUAACUACGUGCCAGCCGCCGCAGUAA
rnacentral:rRNA from 1 species